rnacentral:rRNA from 1 species
UACGUAGGGGGCAAGCGUUGUCCGGAUUUAUUGGGCGUAAAGAGCGUGUAGGCGGCUAGGUAGGUCCGUUGUGAAAACUCGAGGCUCAACCUCGAGACGCCGGUGGAAACCAUCUAGCUAGAGUCCGGAAGAGGAGAGUGGAAUUCCUGGUGUAGCGGUGAAAUGCGUAGAUAUCGGGAGGAACACCGGUGGCGAAGGCGGCCUUCUGGACGGAUACUGACGCUGAGACGCGAAAGCGUGGGGAGCAAACAGG